AAACUAUCAGGAAUUUUAAGUUUUCACAUAUAUAAUUUAGGUAGAUAUAAGACAAACAAUUUAAGUGAAUAUCUAUACUCCCAUUAAUUCCCAGGGAAGAAAAUGCAUGUAAAUUUCUGGUGCCCCAAACGUUUUCACUACUUUUACUCUCAAGAACUCUGACUGCUUUUAAAAGACAGUGAAGGUCUGUUACUAUAAUUGCAUCAAAUAAGAUAUUCUCCUUUAUGUGUACUCUUUCUCCCCAGUCAGGUAAGGAAUUCUAACAGAGUCAAAGCUGAACAGAACAUUACACUUGAUUUUUUUUAUUAUUUAACAGAGAAAAACAUUCAGAAUCAAAAGCUUCUCCAGUCACCAUCUAUCUCAUCUCAUCUUCUUCAAAGACAGCCAAACUAUAUUACAGAAGGGUUUUGAGCAAAACACAUUCCAGAAGAAAAAACCUGAAAGUUGGUUUUGGUGUCAUUUAAGGAAAAUAAGCCCUUCUAGGGAAUCCAUCUACUAUGAGUUCCACUAUGAGGGUAUUUUAUUCCUGUUCUUAAUCCCACGGGGCAACGUGAAAAUUGCUCAUGCGGAUAUAAUG